GCCUGGUUGGCUCAGUCAGUAGAGCACGUGACUCUUGAUCUCAGGGUUGUAAGUUCAAGUCCCACAUUGGGCA
rnacentral:tRNA from 1 species